CUGUUCUGCAUUGACGCCCAAAUGUGGUGCAAAAAGCUAGGUGCGAAAUGGACUCGCAUCUUUGAGCCUAAGUGUGUUCUGUUUUCGAGUACUCUGUUCUUUAGCGUAUAGUUCGAAAUUCUGGCCGAGGAAGACAUUACGUGUGUAAAAUGGCACGAUGUACCAGGAGGCUUUUAUUGAAUUUGUCCGAACUCAAUACGGCAUGUUGUGUUCCAGACUAGGUCAUUGUAUAUAAUAGAAAGAUAGGCUGGAGCAGAACAUGUAAUUUGACUGUAAUGAGUAGAGACUCUUCUAAUCUUCUCUCCUCGUGUAGUAACAUGCUUUAUCCUAAGGUCAGGCUGCAGUGAUAACGGUUUAGGCCUUUUUAUGCUUCUGAUUUACUGAAUGUGAAUGAAUAAAUGAGUGAGAGUGAGUUUAGUUCAAUUUGAAAAGGCUACAUCAAUAGAUCUCGUUGUGUGUGUGUGUGUGUGUGUGUGUGUGUGUGUGUGUGUGUGUGUGUGUGUGUGUGUGUGUAUUAGACACUUUCUGUCUAGGUGAAACUGAGGGACACUUCUGAAAGAAGAAUCCACAUCAAGCCAGGAGAAGCUGCUGGGUUAUGAGCGGGGAGGUGUCACUCACUGGGCUUACAAAGGAACCAGAGGGGGGCCUAUGACCAGGGGCCAUGCUGGACUAAAUUUGCAUUUCCCAGGCAUUGCUUCUUCACCACAACAUCAGGAUACUCCAGGUGAGUGACAGGAGCCCUGUGUCCAACAACUUUCAAUGGGAAGUUGAAAAAUGUCGCUAGAUGACCUCACACGCUAAUUAGCAUUUUUCAUUACCUCAUACUUGCGUUCUGCCUAGUGUCAGCCCUUUUUAACAAACAAACAAAAAUUAUACAAGGAGAGAAGGAAAACACUCUGAAACUGAACCCAGUGAAGCGAAAAUUGGACAUGGUCUUCAAAUAAACAGCAUUCUUUGCUAACAGUUCUCUUAGCUUCGUUUUGUUAAUCAUGGUUUACGAAUGCGCUGCACAGAGUUUUCGUUCACGCUCCGUAAGUUUACGUUCAGCGUUC
ensembl:lncRNA